ACUAGCAAGGCCAUUCUUUAAAUUUGAUAAAGUAACCUGCAAAAGUGAUCUUUUGCAGAAUGUGUGCAUCCCAAAUGCUUCUCUACAAAUAAAAACCAAGAGUCGCUCGGAAGCAAGGAAAGGGGGCGAGAUGUCUUACAUCUCGAAUGGACAACUGUUGGACAGCCGGAGUCAGUCUCCAUGGAGAUUAUCUUUGAUAACAGAUUUCUUCUGGAGAAAACCUGAGUUUGUGGUUUUGUUUUUCAAAACUCUGCUUCAGCAAGAUGUGAAAAAAAGAAGAGGCUGUGGAAACUCAUCUGAUUCCAGAUAUGAUGAUGGAAGAGGGCCACCAGGAAACCCUUUCCAAAGAAUGGGUCAAAUCAAUCAUCUGCAUGGCUUGGUCUUCCUCCAAUGGCUGGUGGAUGAGGAAGGUAAAUGUCUGCUCUAAGAAGCAGACAACAGGACAUGCACA